rnacentral:rRNA from 1 species
AUGCAUGUGCAAGUGCAGCUUUGGGAAAAGUGAAACCGCGAAUGGCUCAUUAAAUCAGUUACUAUCCACUUGUUUGGUACCCAGUUCACAUGAAUAACUGCGGUAACCCUGCAGCUAAUGCAUGCUAGUUCCACGGCUUCGGUCGGGAACUUUUACAAGAACUCGCCGGGCGCUCCACAGAGAUGGACGUAACGACGAUGAAUCAAUAGUAACUGAAUGACCUCAGAUGGCUUCGGCCGGGAGGCGAAACUUACGAGUUUCUGACCCAUCAACCUAUGACGGUAGUGUAACGGACUACCGUGGUUGUGACGGGUAACGGGGAAUCAGGGUUCGAUUCCGGAGAGGGAGCCUGAGAAACGGCUACCACAUCCAAGGAAGGCAGCAGGCACGCAAAUUACCCAAUCCCGGAACGGGGAGGUAGUGACGAAAAAUAACCAUAUGAACCCUUGUGGUUUGUAAUGGGAAUGGAAGGGAUGCAAAAAUUCCCUUGAUGAACGAGUGGAGGGCAAGUCUGGUGCCAGCAGCCGCGGUAAUACCAGCCUCCACAAGCGUAUGCAAAAGUUGCUGCGUUUAAAAAGCUCAUAGUUGGAUCUGUUUGAGUGCUGCGGCACAUCUGGUGAAAUGUUUCAUUUCCCCAGCGUAAUGCUCAUCCUUCGCAUCGAAGAACCAGUUUGCACUUAAUUGUGUCGAACUGGGGAAACGGUGUUUUCACUUUGAGAAAAUUAGAGUGCUCAAAGCGUCCUUUGGGAUUGAAUAAUAAAGCAUGGAAUAAUGGAGAAUGACCCGCAUAUUGUUUGAUGCCGGUGGCUGAUGUGCGGUAAUGAUUGAAAGGAACAGCCGGGGGCAUUUGUAUUGCUACGUUAGAGGUGAAAUUCUUGGAUCGUGGCAAGACAAACUACUGCGAAAGCAUUUGCCAAGAAUGUUUUCAUUAAUCAAGAACGAAAGUCAGAGUAUUAAAGAGGAUUAGAUACCCUCGUAAUUCUGACCAUAAACUAUACCAACUUACGAUUUGUCAAAGUCCAAUAUGACUUGGCAAGAAAUUAACCGGGAAACCAAAGUUUAUUGGUUCCGGGGGAAGUAUGGUUGCAAAAUCGAAACUUAAAGGAAUUGACGGAAGGGCACCACCAGGAGUGGAGCCUGCGGCUUAAUUUGACUCAACACGGGAAAGCUCACCCGGUCCAGACAUCUCAAGGAUUGACAGAUUGAAGAUCUUUCAUGAUCAUAUGGGCGGUGGUGCAUGGCCGUUCUUAGUUAGUGGAGUGAUCUGUCUGGUUAAUUCCGAUAACGAACGAGAUCUCUUCCAUCUAACUAGUCAAUGUCACUUUAUGUGGCAAAAAUCACUUCUUAGAGGAACUAUGCGGAAAAGAAUACCGCAAGUGAAGUGAGGCUAUAACAGGUCUGUAAUGCCCUUAGAUGUCCUGGACUGCACGCGCGCUACACUGUACGCUUUUAAAGUGAGCUGUGAGCCUUGGCCCAUGUGGUCGGGGUAAUCACCUAAAAGUGUUGGAUCUUUCAGGGGAUCGACUGUUGUAACUUGCAGUCGUGAACCAGGAAUUCCUCGUAAUCUGGAGUCAACAACUCCAAGUGAUUACGUCCCUGCCCUUUGUACACACCGCCCGUCGCUACUACUGAUUGGAUGGUUAAGCAAGAACCUCGAAUUCCUGCUGUUGAUACUCCGGUUGAUUCAGCGGGCGGAAGAGGAUCAAGCUUAUCUGUCUA